rnacentral:rRNA from 1 species
UUUUAUUCGAGAGUUUGAUCCUGGCUCAGGAUGAACGCUGGCGGCGUGCUUAACACAUGCAAGUCGAACGAGGUAUAAGGACGGAAGUUUUCGGACGGAAGAUCUUGUACUGAGUGGCGGACGGGUGAGUAACGCGUGGGAAACCUGCCCUGUUCCGGGGGAUACCAGUUGGAAACGACUGUUAAUACCGCAUAAGCGCACAGCACCGCAUGGUGCAGUGUGAAAAACUC